rnacentral:lncRNA from 1 species
CGAGCAUUUCGUAAUUAAAAGUUAAGAAUACUUGGUAGGGUGGUUGUUAAAUUGGUUAUCUUGUAUCAUAUUUCAGGAGAUGACGAGAAUAUUGAAAUCAUGACCAGUCCAUAACUUGGUGAGUGGAUAUAAAACUUAUUUUUCAGAAAUUAAUUAUUUAUUAAAUUUACGUUAGAUUAGAAAAUUUACUUUUUCAUACAGUUGAUUUGACAACAUGAUUUUUUAGAAUAAAGUGGAUUUAUAAUCAGUUGUUUUUAAAGUGAAAUUCAGUUUAAUUAAAUCAUUUCAAUAGCAUGUCUCCAUUCGUAUACAUGUUUCAGUAUAGUUAAAGUUAUUUCUAAAAACCACCAGAAAGUGCCCAGGUGAUUUUACCCCAGCCUGAACUGGUGUGAAUGUGUUUCCACAGUGUAUGACAAGUUAUGGUGAUUUUACUCACUUUGCACUAUUGUGAAUGUGUUUCCAUAGUGUAUGACCAGAUUAUCAGAGGUCUUUGGGACCCACUCUCAUACACAUAUAGGCUUUAGGUCGUGUACUAGGGUGAUUAGCCUUUGGGGCAGCUCUGCGUACGUAUAACCAUAUUAUCAGAUUACCAGAUUAUCAGAAUAUCAGAUUUGAGUGGUUUUGCCUUGUACAUCGAGAUUACUCUGUACAUGGGUAAGGCUAUUCAUUGGGUACCUUUUUGUAUGAUUUUUCAGUAUUUCUACAAAUUAUUAGAUUUCAGAUUAUAGAAUUCAGUUAACUCAGUUUUCAGAAUAAAGCUUUCAGCUUAUAGUAUUGAUCAACAACAAUAUUUCAUAGAUUUUCACGGAUGUCAUAGUAUUUAUAUUCGUCACAUUUUACAGUUACUUAUCUAGAAUGAAGAACAAAGAAUUUUAUGAUAUAUUCAUAUUUGAUUGUAAAAAGUGUUACCAGAUUUCAGAAUUUCUUAAAAUUUCAAUAGAGCAAGAAUUUUCAGAAAAUAUGUAUAAAUGAGAAAAGUAUACUUAUUUGCAAAUUAUCCACUCACUGAACUUUAAGCUGAUAUAUUUUUCACAUUUUUUCUUUAUCAGGCAGAUAGCAGCCGAAUUGGGUAGCUUUGGAGCCUGUCGAACCACUAAAUUGAGCCACGCGUCAUAGGUUGUAUGAUAUCCUUUAUCAAAUUAUACAUUAUAUGAUCUUUUGGGAUACAUGUAGCUUAAAUCAGAAAAGUUCAAUAUGGGCUCAUUAGAUAGUUGAUAUCUUUAGUAUGUUUGAGGAUUGUUGAUUGUAAAGCAAGUGAAUGUUUAUUUGUCAGCAUUUUAUUUGAAUAGUUUGUAAUUUGAGGGGCCGUCUUACUCUAUUCAUAUUAUAGGUAUUGAUUUGAAGAAAAUUGAUUAUUGUUCAGGUGGUUUUAGUUUAUAUUUUAGGAAAAACUCUGUCAAAAUUUUGUUAAAAAUAAUUUUUAGUCAAGCAAGUCAAAUUGACUUGGUGGUGGGUCCGACGUUUAGCUGGUAUCUAUCAUCGAAGCACGACACGUAUCGAAUCUCCUAAGAUGAUUCGGACGGGUCGUGUCAAUUGGUAUCGGAGCAUGGUUUAGUGGUUGUUAAGCUCGAGUAAUUAUGAGUUUUUUUUUUCGAAAUAGCAUGUCAUUGAGAUUAUUAACCGUGGCAUGGUGGCAGAACUCACAGGCUCCAAUGUGGUAUUUGAAACUCAUAUUGCCCUUGAUAACGAGAAUAUGGCAUCUAAGAAACAAGAAGGAACUUUAUUGAUUUGAGCAUAAUAAGUAUGAGGAUGUUAUUGAGAAUUAUCCGAUGGUAAUGGAGUUGUUAGAGUUGUCAUGUUGGGGCCAUGUUAUAUUUUCUCUAAUAUACUGUAUAUCCAGCAGCCAGUUAAGUGAAAAGUAUAAUUUUUAUUGGUAAUGAGAUUUAUUAGGUUAUGAGUUUUUUUUUUAUGACUAUUAGAGGAAAAUGUCUUGUAGAUGCCUUGGAUGAUAAAUAUGGUCUAAUGUUGAUAUAUGUAUAGUUGGUGAUAUUACAAGAUGAAAUCACGAUUGUUUUGUAAAUCUAAAGGAUUGUGCUAUUAUGAGAAUUAUUGUGGAAAUUGUGAUCAUAUUUAGUAUAUGGAGGAAGAUGCAUAUAUUAGAAAAUCAAGAUGUGGAGUUAUGAUAAGGAAUCUUGUUUAUGAAAAAUAAAUAAUGAAACCAUAUGGAAUGUUGAUUCGCGACGAAAAAUGGUGUUAUUAAAUAUGUUUUACUUUGCGAUUUUGAGUAAAUUAAUGUGAUCGUGGCCUAUCUUUUGUUGAUUCUGGGACAAGCAAGUAUCUAGGUUUGUACUUCAACUACUAUUGAAGGAAAGAUGAUUGGAAUUUAUGUUGGUAUGUGUGUAUCUAAUGGGUGACAUAAAUAAGAAAUAGCAUAAAGUUGAAGAACGGGAGAAAAUUAGCAUGAUUAAAUGUUGAGAUCAUACGAUAUUAAGAUAUUCAAUGUAACAAGGUUUUAUGAUUCCAAAGGGCAUUGUGAAUGGUAGUGCACUAAAUUUAUAAUUAAUGGUACGUCAAAAUAAUAUUGGGAUGAUAUAUUUAGAAUGCAAAGUGAAAUACUCUUCCCAUGACCAUGAUUGGGAUUAUUGUGUUAGAUUAAAAUAGAUUGAAAUGACAUGUUAAAUUGUAAGUAUAAGUUGAGUUCUUUGAGUUUUGUGUUGCUAUUGGAUUACUAUGUCUGCAAUUGUGAUUUUGGAUUUCAUGAAUUAAGAAUUUCAUUCUCAUCGAAGUAAUAUGAUAAGGAAUUCAUGGAUGACGGGUUACCUCAUUGUCGAGACUAGGAUUAAAGAAUGUUUAUUUUGGAUAUGAAGGUAACUUAGCUAAGGUUAUUCUAGCAUAAAACUUUUAUAGAUAUUUGAAGAUC